rnacentral:rRNA from 1 species
ACGAACGCUGGCGGCAUGCCUAACACAUGCCAGUCGAACGAGACCUUCGGGUCUAGUGGCGCACGGGUGCGUAACGCGUGGGAACCUGCCCUUAGGUUCGGAAUAACUCCCCGAAAGGGGUGCUAAUACCGGAUAAUGUCUUCGGACCAAAGAUUUAUCGCCUUUGGAUGGGCCCGCGUUGGAUUAGCUAGUUGGUAGGGUAAAAGUCUACCAAGGCGACGAUCCAUAGCUGGUCUGAGAGGAUGAUCAGCCACACUGGGACUGAGACACGGCCCAGACUCUUACGGGAGGCAGCAGUGGGGAAUAUUGGACAAUGGGCGAAAGCCUGAUCCAGCAAUGCCGCGUGAGUGAUGAAGGCCUUAGGGUUGUAAAGCUCUUUUACCCGGGAUGAUAAUGACAGUACCGGGAGAAUAAGCUCCGGCCAACUCCGUG